rnacentral:rRNA from 1 species
CGCAGCCGCGGUAAUUCCAGCUCCAAUAGCGUAUAUUAAAGUUGUUGCAGUUAAAAAGCUCGUAGUUGAAUUUCGGGAUUAGUACGUUGGUCGUGCCUUCGGUACGUACUGGUGUUACUGGUUCCUACCUUCUGACGAACCAUCAUGUCAUUAAUUUGGUGUGGUGGGGAAUCAGGACUGUUACUUUGAAAAAAUUAGAGUGUUUAAAGCAGGCUCGCGCUUGAAUACAUUAGCAUGGAAUAAUGAAAUAGGACGUUGACCCUAUUUUGUUGGUUUCUAGGAUUGACGUAAUGAUUAAUAGGGAUAGUUGGGGGCAUUAGUAUUCAAUUGUCAGAGGUGAAAUUCUUGGAUUUAUUGAAGACUAACUACUGCGAAAGCAUUUGCCAAGGAUGUUUUCAUUAAUCAAGAACGAAAGUUAGGGGAUCGAAGACGAUCAGAUACCGUCGUAGUCUUAACCAUAAACUAUGCCGACUAGGGAUCGGAUGAUGUUAAUUUUUUAAUGACUCA